rnacentral:rRNA from 1 species
UACGAAGGGGGCUAGCGUUGCUCGGAAUUACUGGGCGUAAAGGGCGCGUAGGCGGAUAGUUCAGUUGGGGGUGAAAGCCCGGGGCUCAACCUCGGAACUGCCUUCAAUACUGGCUAUCUUGAGUACGGGAGAGGUGUGUGGAACUCCGAGUGUAGAGGUGAAAUUCGUAGAUAUCGUAAGGAAGACCAGUGGCGAAGGCGGAUCUCUGGACAGUUACUGACACUGAGGCACGAAGGCCAGGGAGCAAACGGG